CCUACGGGUGGCAGCAGUGGGGGAUAUUGCACAAUGGGGGGAACCCUGAUGCAGCGACGCAGCGUGGGUGAAGAAGCGCCUCGGCGCGUAAAGCCCUGUCAGCAGGGAAGAAAAUGACGGUACCUGAAGAAGAAGCACCGGCUAACUCCGUGCCAGCAGCCGCGGGAAUACGUAGGGGGCAAGCGUUAUCCGGAUUUACUGGGUGUAAAGGGGGCGCAGACGGCGAUGCAAGCCAGGAGUGAAAGCCCGGGGCCCAACCCCGGGAAUGCUCUUGGAACUGCGUGGCGGGAGUGCAGGAGGGGCAGGCGGAAUUCCUGGUGUAGCGGUGAAAUGCGUAGAUAUCAGGAGGAACACCGGUGGCGAAGGCGGCCUGCUGGACUGCAACUGACGUUGAGGCCCGAAAGCGUGGGGAGCAAACAGGAUUAGAUACCCGAGUAGUC
rnacentral:rRNA from 1 species